AUCAUCCUGUAUAUAGAAGAGUUCAAAUAAAUAGCUAAUCGUUAUUAAGUUAGUGUUACAGCCAAGUUCUAUACACUUACCUCAAGCUGGCAAAAUGUUGGCUAAGAAAAUAAUUUCCUUGCCUGUAAUGUCAUGCUUAUUUUUGAAACAAAGGCUGUGAUACUUUUUUAAUAAAUGAGCAGUUCUUGUAAGAAGAUUUUAAGUGCAAUAUUAACAAUUAAUAGAUAUGUGAGAUAUUAUAGGUUUCCUUAAAAAGCAUAUUAAAUACUCUGUUUCCUGACCUGUGGGUGGGAUGGUUGAGGAGAAGAAACAGUCUUUGUUUAACUUUUAAUUCACAUCUAACGUGAGUGAAGCUCAGUAAAGGAGCAAGGCUUCUUCAUGGCUUCAUGGUCCAGAAUGCAAUGAAUCUUCUGCUUCCAAGUACAGAUCCCUUAAAUUUCUCGAAUCUUUGCGCAAAGCAGUAUAUCUGCUCCUUGAGCAAAUCCUACCCCAUCUAUCUGCAGCAGAUUACCUGUCUGCAUUUUCAAGCCUCAGCCUGGCAAACUGCUCACUCUCCUACUGAGAAAGUAAGAGUUCAGACCUGUCUUGUCUGGUGAGUAUAAACAUGGAAAACAGAUGCAAAACCAGAGCAAGUAGAAAAGAUAUGGGAAAGGCCAUGUGCGUUCAAAGGUGUGUAGUUCAGGAAGGUAGGAGUAGAACCAGUGACAGUUGCAAACAUAUCCAGGACAAGGGUGAAAGAUCAUAAGAUCUUGUAAAUGGAGGUGUUGAAUAACUGAGCUGUGCUACACUGAGGCAGAAGUGCAGUGGAGACGUGGUAGUCCCUGUGUCAUGUCAACGUGAUGUAUAAUAGGUGGUGUAGAAGGGAAAAUACUGCUAAAAAUCCUGUGAGACUUCACUGUAUUUCUACAAGUUUAUUAUUUUUAUCAAGGUGCUUUUCUUAACAGCACAAGGGGAUUACCAAGAACUGCUUGCCCACUGUUCAGAUGUGCUCUGUGCAUGUGGCUUUUAUAUACACAUAUAUAUGUGUGUGUGUAUAUAUAUAUGCUUUAUUUUUACUUUUAGAAGUGAAUAUGUGGAAUAAGUGCUUUGUUCUUAGAGAUGUAUUUAAUUGCUGUCAUUUAGAAAUUUGAAAUAAUAUGAAUAAAGGUCUUCAGUGUUUACUGGGCAAUGGAGUAUUGAGCAUUAUGUGCCUUUGAAAAGUGACUUUCUAAGGUAAAUUGGUCUUACUGGUUAGAUGAGACAAAUUGUAUGUUUUGUUGGCAGGGACAACCACAAAUGAUGAAUCACUAGAGUCCCCACCUCUCAAAGAGAAAAUAUGGUAUAGUAGUUAAGUGGGAUUUUAAAUUCUUUUUCAGCAAAGUGUUUAUUUAAGGUGGUUAACUUUUAAACAGGCUCCAGCCUCAGUAAAUUAAAGGGACAUUAAAACAGGUGUUUGCAGAUAAACGUGUGACUCAAGAAUGUUGUUUAUUUUGGCCUUAUUGUUUUAAGUGCCCAUUCUAGACUAGCUGCUAGCGGUGGGACACGUCCAGCUUCUGGCUUUAUUUUUACUGUACUGGCUUACAAAUAAAGAUAUUGCCUAUGUAAGAAGUUUUCCACACAUCUAUUUAAAAA